AUUGAACGCUGGCGGCAUGCCUUACACAUGCAAGUCGAACGGCAGCACGGGUGCUUGCACCUGGUGGCGAGUGGCGAACGGGUGAGUAAUACAUCGGAACAUGUCCUGUAGUGGGGGGUAGCCAGGCGAAAGCCGGAUUAAUACCGCAUACGAUCCACGGAUGAAAGCGGGGGCCCUUCGGGCCUCGCGCUAUAGGGUUGGCCGAUGGCUGAUUAGCUAGUUGGUGGGGUAAAGGCCUACCAAGGCGACGAUCAGUAGCUGGUCUGAGAGGAAGACCAGCCACACUGGGACUGAGACACGGCCCAGACUCCUACGGGAGGCAGCAGUGGGGAAUUUUGGACAAUGGGCGAAAGCCUGAUCCAGCAAUGCCGCGUGUGUGAAGAAGGCCUUCGGGUUGUAAAGCACUGUUGUCCGGAAAGAAAUCCUUGACUCUAAUACAGUCGGGGGAUGACGGUACCGGAAGAAUAAGCACCGGCUAACUACGUG
rnacentral:rRNA from 1 species